rnacentral:rRNA from 1 species
GACGGGGGAUGCAAGUGUUAUCCGGAAUCAUUGGGCGUAAAGCGUCCGCAGGUGGCAGUUCAAGUCUGCUGUCAAAGACCGGGGCUUAACUUCGGAAAGGCAGUGGAAACUGAACAGCUAGAGUAUGGUAGGGGCAGAGGGAAUUCCUGGUGUAGCGGUGAAAUGCGUAGAGAUCAGGAAGAACAUCGGUGGCGAAGGCGCUCUGCUGGACCAUAACUGACACUCAGGGACGAAAGCUAGGGGAGCGAAUGGG